rnacentral:lncRNA from 1 species
ACACGGAGAAUUGAUAGUAAAUUUGUGUUUAUUAUGUGGACAUUUGAGGGCGUCCGAUGUUCUGCAUUUACAUCCAGAAUACUGUAUACGUUUAGAGGUGAAUGCGCUGAAAAAACAGAAGCCAAGACCACAGAUUAUUCCAGCCUAAAGCCACUUCCUGGAUUGCAUGAUGUCAACCCGGUGUGAGGAGCAGGCAGUAUUGCCGCAGUAAGAGGUACGAAGUCAGUUCGCCUACUGCCGCUGCAAGGGGAACAGAGCUACCCAUGACUCCAAGCAGCACCUGCAGGAGUCAGGUACACUGAGGAAUUACCUUC